rnacentral:rRNA from 1 species
GCUUAGCCCUAAAUCUAGAUACUUAAACUACCCAAGUAUCCGCCUGAGAAUUACGAGCACCAACGCUUAAAACUCUAAGGACUUGGCGGUGCCCUAAACCCACCUAGAGGAGCCUGUUCUAUAAUCGAUACUCCACGAUAUACCCGACCAUCUCUAGCCCCCUCAGCCUACAUACCGCCGUCGCCAGCCCGCCUAAUGAAAGCCACAGCGAGCAUAACAGCCCCCCGCUAAUAAGACAGGUCAAGGUAUAGCACAUGAGAUGGCAGCAAUGGGCUACAUUUUCUAACCUAGAACAACCUUUACUUAUCUUUACGGAAGAGGUAAUGAAACCCCCUCGGAAGGCGGAUUUAGCAGUAAACUGGAACUAGAAAGUCUACUUUAAACUGGCUCUAGGGC